CUGAGCUGGGCAGGGGCUGCUGCUGAGAGGGGCUGGGUGGGGCAGGGCUGCUCCCAGCUCCAGACCUGCCUGGGCACAGCUCCGGAGGACACUUCCCAAAGAAGACAACAGGGGGAUGAGAGAAGCAGAACAGGAAUUGUAAUCCCAGAAUCACAGAACAUUCUGAGUUGAAAGGGACACACAGGAUCAUCAAAGGAAUGUUUGAACAUUUACACAGACUCCAGAACUGUGACUUAAGCUGGUCUCCAUGUUCAGCCCCAGCAAAUGUCCAAUAGCAGCUCCAACAGGCACUUCCUCCUGCUGGCAUUGGCAGACACGCAGCAG